GUAACGAGCGCAACCCUUGUCCUUAGUUACCAGCACGUUAUGGUGGGCACUCUAAGGAGACUGCCGGUGACAAACCGGAGGAAGUGGGGAUGACGUCAAGUCAUCAUGGCCCUUACGGCCUGGCUACACACGUGCUACAAUGGUCGGUACAAAGGGUUGCCAAGCCGCGAGGUGGAGCUAAUCCCAUAAAACCGGUCGUAGUCCGGAUCGCAGUCUGCAACUCGACUGCGUGAAGUCGGAAUCGCUAGUAAUCGUGAAUCAGAAUGUCACGGUGAAUACGUUCCCGGGCCUU
rnacentral:rRNA from 1 species